AGAUCAUCUCCAAACACUCGGCUUCCGCGUGGAUCUGAUACCAGUUGAUUUUGUCAACUAUUGCGUGCUGGAGAUGUGUGGACAUGAGAACCGCAUUUAAAGGACGGGACUGCGGUUUCUUCGCCGUCGCGGACAAAGCAUUCGCUUCGAGACUCCCUGGCCCUUUCCGCCUCUUCCUUGUAAUACCAAUACAAAAGCCCUGUCCACCGCCUGCGCGUUUAAGGACCACGACGCACAGUAUAACGGGUGUUCCGCUGUAACAUAAAGAAUCUUGCUAUAAAUACAAACUAUGAGCGAGACCCAGUCUGCCGUAGAGCGAUUAACGCAGUUGUGGAAUCCUCUGAAAAGUUUCUCAGAGCACGAAGCCAGCGAUGGUUCUGGAC